UGAAUUAUAGGUUUUUUAAAUGCAUUGACUUGAGUGAUUGCUAGCUAGUGUGGAGCCGUCGGGCCAUUUUUUUGUUUUUUUUUACAGAAUAUAUAUUUGUUAAUUGUGGGGUAGUUUGCAGUGGAGAUUAUUACUAUGGUUAAGCCAAGUAAGAAGCCUAAGAAUAAUUUUUUCGUUAUGUUGUUCGAUUUUGUUUUAGUUCAUGUG
rnacentral:lncRNA from 1 species